AACACACACAACUUUUUUAUUUUAUCAUUAUAUAUAUAUAUAUGUAUUCAACUCCACGCAUCUAUUUUAGACAGACAGAGAGAAAGAAAAGAAUAGAGAUAGAGAGAGAAAAUAGAGGAGAAUAUUUAAAAGUCUAGGAAACUCAAAACAAGUCCUUUUGUAGCAAUAGCCAAAAAAUUAAAUUGUUUUCUGUUUUUAUAAUUUGGAUUGGGUAUUUUUUGUAGAGAGAAAAAUGUGGGAUCUAAAUGAAUCAGAAGAAGGUUGUUCUUCACCGAUAGAGUUUGAAGGCGAUGAUGAGAAAGGUAAACGGGUCGGAUCCGUUUCGAAUUCAAGUUCAUCAGCUGUAGCUGUUGAUGAUAUAUCUGAAGAGGAAUUAGAUGGAGAAAGAGGGAAGAAAAAGAGAGGUAAAAUUUUCGGCUUCUCUAUGGUGGGUCUGGGUAACGGCGAUGAAGAACAGCCGGUGACCCGACAGUUUUUUCCGGUUGAUGAGUCGGAAAUGGGUGGUGUUGCUGCUGAAAAUGGAUCCCCGAAUUUUCCCAGAGCUCACUGGGUUGGAGUUAAAUUUUACCAAACGGAGACACUUGGCAACACGGGAUUGGCCAGGCCUGUAGAUAUGGUUCAGCAGCAACAGCAGCCUAUUAAGAAGAGCCGCCGUGGACCAAGGUCUAGAAGCUCACAGUACCGUGGGGUUACCUUCUACCGGAGAACUGGCCGGUGGGAAUCUCAUAUA
rnacentral:misc_RNA from 1 species